rnacentral:lncRNA from 1 species
GAAGAUAGAAGAUCAAGAGCAUCGAUUGGAAGGAAAACAAGCCGUUAUCUCUUUGUAAGAAGAUGGUUAGGUUUUCUUUUCAAUUGCUUUCUUCUAGAAUGAUGAGUAGCUAAAUCCUUUGGGAUUCUUGGAUGAGAUGUAGGAAUUGAGCUAUGAAACCUGUCUUGGAUGUUUAAGAACAACGUUUGUGGAUGUUUGAUUUGGAAUGAAAGAUUGUCUUGAUUGUUU